UACAGAGGAGCCAAGCGUUGUCCGGAUUGACUGGGCGUAAAGCGCACGCAGGCGGUUGCGCGCGUGGGGUGUGAAAUCUGGCCGCUUAACGGCCAGGCGCCAUCCCAUACGGCGCGACUGGAGUGAUGCAGAGGUCGAUGGAAUUGCCGGUGUAGUGGUGAAAUGCGUAGAGAUCGGCAGGAACACCCAGGGGGGAAACCAGCCGACUGGGCAUCUGCUGACGCUGAGGUGCGAGAGCGUGGGGAGCGAACCGG
rnacentral:rRNA from 1 species